rnacentral:rRNA from 1 species
CCCUUAGAUGUCCUGGGCGGCCCGCGCGCUACAAUGUCAGCUACUGAAGGUUAAUGCUUUGAAAGAGAGCGCGCUCUCCUUUUAAUUGCUCGCAUGCUGGGAUAAAUGAAUGCAAUUUUGUUUUGAACGAGGAAUUCCUAGUAGCCAUGUUUCGCUAGAAGAUGGCGAAUGCGUCCCUGCCCUUUGUACACACCGCCCGUCGCUCCUACCGAUGAGCGUUUUGGCGAAGACGGUUUGAGUAGCUGCGUAAUUUCGUGUUGUUGACUCCGGCAGUUUGAGCCUUCACGUUUAGAGGAAGGAGAAGUCGUAACA